rnacentral:rRNA from 1 species
UGAGGAAUAUUGGUCAAUGGGCGAGAGCCUGAACCAGCCAAGCCGCGUGAGGGAAGAAGGUACGAAGUAUCGUAAACCUCUUUUGUCAGGGAACAAAAGCGAGUAUGUAUACUAGUCUGAGUGUAUCUGAAGAAAAAGCAUCGGCUAACUCCGUGCCAGCAGCCGCGGUAAUACGGAGGAUGCGAGCGUUAUCCGGAUUUAUUGGGUUUAAAGGGUGCGUAGGCGGCGAUGCAAGUCAGCGGUAAAAGCCCGGGGCUUAACCCCGGCGAGCCGUUGAAACUGCAGUGCUAGAGAAGGCGAGAGGUACGCGGAAUGCGCAGUGUAGCGGUGAAAUGCUUAGAUAUUGCGCAGAACUCCGAUUGCGAAGGCAGCGUACUGGCGCCUGACUGACGCUGAGGCACGAAAGCGUGGGGAUCGAACAGG